GGCCCUAUCCAUACCACCCUAAGCAUGCCACUCUCAUCUGAUUUUGAAGGCUAAGUGAGGAUGGUCCUGGUUAGCACUUGGAUGAGAGAGUUC
rnacentral:rRNA from 1 species